UAAGGAAUAUUGGACAAUGCCCGCAAGGGUGAUCCAGCCAUGCCGCGUGCAGGAAGAAGGCCCUAUGGGUCGUAAACUGCUUUUACACCAGAGAAAACCCCUGUACGAGUACGGGGCUGAUAGUAUGGUGAGAAUAAGCAUCGGCUAACUUCGUGCCAGCAGCCGCGGUAAGACGAAGGAUGCAAGCGUUAUCCGGAUUCAUUGGGUUUAAAGGGAGCGUAGGCGGCCCUGUAAGUCAGUGGUGAAAUCUCUCGGCUUAACCGAGAAAUUGCCAUUGAUACUGCAGGGCUUGAGUACAGUUGCCGUUGGCGGAAUAUGACAUGUAGUGGUGAAAUACAUAGAGAUGUCAUAGAACACCGAUUGCGAAGGCAGCUAACGAAACUGUAACUGACGCUGAGGCUCGAAAGUGCGGGGAUCAAACAG
rnacentral:rRNA from 1 species